rnacentral:rRNA from 1 species
GAUGAACGCUGGCGGCGUGCCUAAUACAUGCAAGUCGAGCGAACAGACGAGGAGCUUGCUCCUCUGACGUUAGCGGCGGACGGGUGAGUAACACGUGGAUAACCUACCUAUAAGACUGGGAUAACUUCGGGAAACCGGAGCUAAUACCGGAUAAUAUAUUGAACCGCAUGGUUCAAUAGUGAAAGACGGUUUUGCUGUCACUUAUAGAUGGAUCCGCGCCGCAUUAGCUAGUUGGUAAGGUAACGGCCUACCAAGGCGACGAUGCGUAGCUGACCUGAGAGGGUGAUCGGCCACACUGGAACUGAGACACGGUCCAGACUCCUACGGGAGGCAGCAGUAGGGAAUCUUCCGCAAUGGGCGAAAGCCUGACGGAGCAACGCCGCGUGAGUGAUGAAGGUCUUCGGAUCGUAAAACUCUGUUAUUAGGGAAGAACAAAUGUGUAAGUAACUAUGCACGUCUUGACGGUACCUAAUCAGAAAGCCACGGCUAACUACGUG